CCAGACUCCUACGGGAGGCAGCAGUGGGGGAUAUUGCACAAUGGGGGAAACCCUGAUGCAGCGACGCCGCGUGAGUGAAGAAGUAUUUCGGUAUGUAAAGCUCUAUCAGCAGGGAAGAAAAUGACAGUACCUGACCAAGAAGCCCCGGCUAACUACGUGCCAGCAGCCGCGGUAAUACGUAGGGGGCAAGCGUUAUCCGGAUUUACUGGGUGUAAAGGGAGCGUAGACGGUUAUGUAAGUCUGGAGUGAAAGCCCGGGGCCCAACCCCGGGACUGCUUUGGGAACUGCCCCGCUCGAGUGCCGGAGGGGCAGGCGGAAUUCCUAGUGUAGCGGUGAAAUGCGUAGAUAUUAGGAGGAACACCAGUGGCGAAGGCGGCCUGCUGGACGGUGUACUGACGCUGAGGCUCGAAAGCGUGGGGAGCAAACAGGAUUAGAUACCCGCGUA
rnacentral:rRNA from 1 species